UGAGGAAUAUUGCGCAAUGGGGGCAACCCUGACGCAGCAACGCCGCGUGAGUGAGGAAGGUUUUCGGAUCGUAAAGCUCUGUCGAGUGGGAAGAAAUGUAUCAUGGCUAAUAUCACUGAUACUUGACGGUACCGCUAAAGGAAGCACCGGCUAACUCCGUGCCAGCAGCCGCGGUAAUACGGGGGGUGCAAGCGUUGUUCGGAAUUAUUGGGCGUAAAGAGCGUGUAGGCGGCUGAAUAAGUCAGAUGUGAAAUCCCUGGGCUUAACUCAGGAAGUGCAUUUGAAACUAUUCAGCUCGAGUAGGGGAGAGGAAAGUGGAAUUCCUGGUGUAGAGGUGAAAUUCGUAGAUAUCGGGAGGAAUACCAGUGGCGAAGGCGCCCUUCUGGACGUUUACUGACGCUGAGACGCGAAAGCGUGGGGAGCAAACA
rnacentral:rRNA from 1 species